UAGCGUAAUCAAUAGCCAAUUAAUUGUUGGCCGGUAUGAAUGGCGUCACGAAGGCCCCACUGUCUUAAGAGGACUCUCCAUGAAAUUGAAUUCGUAGUGAAGAUGCUACGUCCAUAUUGUAAGACGAAAAGACCCCAUUGAGCUUUACUAAAGACUUGCAUGGCUCAAAAUAAUUUGAUUUAAAUAAAGAGUUUAGAUAAUGUGGGAUCCGUUUCCGGUUAAUGAAACACCACUCUUUUAUUUUAAGAGAGCUAACAUUACAGGGAUAGUGUAAGUUGGAUAGUUUGGUUGGGGCGACCACCUUUUAAAAGGUAACGAAGGUGAGCUUAAGGUCCGUAGUUAAUAGCCGGUGGCCUGACUGCAAGGGGGACGUCUCGAGCAGACACGUCCUUAGGGAUGUGGACUAUAGUGACCCGUC
rnacentral:rRNA from 1 species